rnacentral:rRNA from 1 species
AGUGCGAACAAGUGCAUGUGGUGGAUGCUCUCUUUGGCUUUCACACAGCGAUGUAGAGACGCGGGUAAGCGCUGCGAAAAGGCUACGCGGGGAGCUGGCAAGGCGAGCCGUUGCGAUCCGAUAGAGUUGUCCGAAUCGGGGAAACCCGUGACCCUUUUUGGGUCCCAUCCUAGGGACUGAAUAGGCAUAGGUUCUGUUGAGGUGCGACGGCGGUGUGAACUGAAACAUCUUAAUUAAGGGCACAUGAAAAGGAAAAUCGAACCGAGAUUCCCAAAAGUACGUGGCGGAGCGAAAUGGGGAAGCGCGCUGUCUUCUCUUUAUUUGUAUUUGUUAGCCGAACGCUCUGGAAAUGUGCGGCCAUCCAGCAGGUGUUAGGCCCUGUGGCGGAAACGUGUGAUGAAAGAACUCUAUGGUGUAGGGAACAAGUAGUGCGCGGGGACACGUGAAAUCCUGUCUGAAAGAUUGGGGGACCAUCCUCCAGGGCUAAAUACGUUCGUGAUCGACCGAUAGGUGCCAGUCAGUCACCGGAUGAGGGGAAACGGCGAAAAGAACCCCGGAGGGGAGUGAAAUAGAUCUUGGAAGCGCGUGCUCUACAAGAGCUCAGUUCGGAGCCUCGCAAGGUGUGCGGCGCGUACACUUUAUGUAAAUUGUGUCAGCAGCACUUAUACUUUUCGAUUAGCACGCUUUAACCCGAACUAUGUGCCGGCGUAGCGCAAGUCCGGAGUCGAAUAGGGUGGUUCCAGUUGCUGGGCGUAGACCCGAAACCCAGGUGAUCUAUUCCAUGGGCCAGGGAUGAAAGGUGCGGGUAACACGUACUGGAGGUCCGAACCCACUUAACGUUGAAAAUUUAGGGGCUGAGCUCGUGGAUUAGGGGUGUGAAAGGCUAAACAAACCUGGAAAUAGGCUGGUUCUCUUCCGAAAAACUAUUUACGGUAGUGCCUCGGUGUCCUCACCUUCGGGGGGUAGAGCACUGUCAUGGUUGGGGGGGUCUAUUGCAGAUUACCCCCCGCAUAGCAAACUCCCGAAUACCGAAGAGUGCAAUCACGGAGACAGACAUCGGGUGCUAACGUCCGGUGUCAAGAGGGAAACAAACCCAGACCGCCAGCUAAGGUCCCCCAAAUAUGGCUAAGUGGGAAACGAAGUGGGAAGGCUAAAAACAGUCAGGAGGUUGGCUUAGAAGCAGCCCCCUUUAAAGAAAGCGUAAUAGCUCACUGAUCGAGUCGUCCCUGCCGCGGAAGAUGUAACGGGGCUAAGCCAUAUACCGGAAGCUUGCGGAUGCGAGCUAGUCUCGCAAUGGUAGGAGAGCGCGUUCCGUAAGCCUGCGAAGGUGCGUUGAAAAGCGUGGCUGGAGGGUAUCGGAAGUGCGAAUGCUGACAUGAGUAGCGAUAAAGGGGGUGAAAGGCCCCCUCGCCGUUAGCCCAAGGUUUCCUACGCAACGUUCAUCGGCGUAGGGGUAGUCGGCCCCUAAGGCGCAGGCCAGAAAUGCGUAGGCUGAUGGGGAAGCAGGUCAAUAUUCCUGCACCAUUGUUAGAUGCGAUGGGGGGGGACGGAUCGCGGAAGGUUGUCCGGGUGUUGGAAUAGUCCCGGUUCGCUUUGCAUUGGAGAAGGGCGCUUAGGCAAAUCCGGGGGCGCAGGAUUCAAGGGUGUGGCGGCGAGCUCCUUCGGGGAGGCAAAGCAAUUGGAAGUGGUUCCAAGAAAAGCCCUCUAAGCUUCAGUGUCUAACGAUGACCGGUAACCCGCAAACCCGACCACAGGUGGGGCGAGAUGAGUAUUCUAAGGCGCUUUGAGAGAACUCGGGAGAAGGAACUCUGGGGCAAAUUGGUACCGCGUAACUUCGGGAUAAGGUACGCCCUGGUAGCUUGACUGGCCUGCGGCCAGAAGGGUGAAGGGGUUGCCAAUAAACUGGUGGCUGCGACUGUUUAAUAAAAACACAGCACUCUGCAAACACGAAAGUGGACGUAUAGGGUGUGACGCCUGCCCGGUGCCGGAAGAUUAAAAUGAUGGGGUGCAAGCUCUUGAUUGAAGUCCCGGUAAACGGCGGCCGUAACUAUAACGGUCCUCAAGGUAGCGAAAUUCCUUGUCGGGUAAGUUCCGACCUGCACGAAUGGCGCAUAGAUGGCCACACUGUCUCCUCCCGAGACUCAGCGAAGUUGAAGUGUUUGUGAUGAUGCAAUCUACCCGCGGCUAGACGGAAAGACCCCAUGAACCUUUACUGUAGCUUUGCAUUGGACUUUGAACCGAUCUGUGUAGGAUAGGUGGGAGGCUAUGAAACCGGAACGCUAGUUUCGGUGGAGCCGUCCUUGAAAUACCACCCUGGUUUGUUUGAGGUUCUAACCUUGGCCCGUGAUCCGGGUCGGGGACAGUGCAUGGUAGGCAGUUUGACUGGGGCGGUCUCCUCCCAAAGCGUAACGGAGGAGUACGAAGGUACGCUAGGUACGGUCGGAAAUCGUGCUGAUAGUGCAAUGGCAUAAGGCGUGCUUAACUGCGAGACCGACAAGUCGAGCAGGUGCGAAAGCAGGUCAUAGUGAUCCGGUGGUUCUGUAUGGAAGGGCCAUCGCUCAACGGAUAAAAGGUACUCUGGGGAUAACAGGCUGAUACCGCCCAAGAGUUCAUAUCGACGGCGGUGUUUGGCACCCUCGAUGUCGGCGCUCAUCUCAUCCUGGGGCUGUAGCCGGUCCCAAGGGUAUGGCUGUUCGGCCAUUUAAAGAAGGUACGUGAGCUGGGUUUAAAACGUCGUGAGACAGUUUGGUCCCCUAUCUGCCGUGGGCGUUGGAAGUUUGAAGGGGGGGCUGCUCCUAGUACGAGAGGACCGGAGUGGACGAACCUCUGGUGUACCGGUUGUGACGCCAGUCGCAUCGCCGGGUAGCUAUGUUCGGAAGAGAUAACCGCUGAAAGCAUCUAAGCGGGAAACUCGCCUUAAGAUGAGACUUCCCCGGGGACUUGAUCCCCUUGAAGGGUCGUUCGAGACCAGGACGGUUGAUAGGUCGGGGUGUGUAAGCGCAGUAAUGCGUUCAGCUAACCGAUACUAAUUGCCCGUACGGCCUUGAUC